GUCCACAACCCAUAUGAUAUCUGCCAGUCCCAGGAUUGUGUAUCUGAGGGAACCAAGAUGUGAGUUGCUAGAAGCAGCCAUGCAAGGGAGGAAGAGGAGUUAUCAAUAACCCCAUUAUGCAGAGGAGGAAACUGAAUCUCAGAGAAGGGAAGAAAAUAUCCUGUGCCCACUCAGCUAGUAAGUGGCAGAAGUGAGAGCUAGAACCUAGAUCUGUUGGACUCCAAGGUGAGUGUUCUUGCUAUGGCGACUGAAAAGAACUAUUAUUCUCUAUAGCAAAUGGAAAACCUAAGGAAUUCAUUAGCUCCAAAAGAUGCAGCAAGAUGAAAAUGCAAGUAGCUUUGGAAAGAGUGAAAGUAAAGUCAUGGCUGACAGAUCCACUGUGGAUUACUAAGGGAAACUGGGGAUGAGGUGGGAAUGUCAUUGAUCUUGGAAGACAGCCAAAUCCUUCUCGAACCUAUCCUUUUGGACCCCAUUAGGAUAUUGGGCUUGAAGCACCUUGUGGUUGGACCAAAAGGUGGUUUGAAUGUUCUCAAAACAACUGCAGAUCAGGAUGAGGCCUCCUUGGAGUGCCCCCAAGACAUCUAUCUGGUGGCCAGGGGAGGUGGAGGGUGAGGAAGCGGGUAACAGUGGACUCCACCUCCCUCUGGGAACAGCCCUGGAAGCCUAACAUAGCUAAGAGAAUAUACCUAUUUGGAGGUGCCCAUACUGUCCCAUUGAGGAGCUCCCAGGCUCUGCUUGCCAGGUCUCCUUCCAACCACCUCCUUCUGAUGGUUGCUGCAAUCCUUUCUCCAUGUUCCCCGAAAAACCCAAACCAAAUCAAGUAUAAAACUAUUCUAAGAGUCAAUGGGAUGAAGAAGAGUACUUGGCUCUUUCCAGAUCUGCCUUGCUAAUCUACUGUAAAGCUUUGUUUUUCUUAUCCAGGAAAUGGGACUGAAGGCCCUUGCCCUUUCCCAUCUUCUGAAGGAAGAAAAUAUGUUUCUUGAAGAUUAAAAAGGAAGCCC
rnacentral:lncRNA from 10 species